rnacentral:misc_RNA from 1 species
GAUGAAGAACGCAGCGAAAUGCGAUAAGUAAUGUGAAUUGCAGAAUUCAGUGAAUCAUCGAAUCUUUGAACGCACCUUGCACCCUUUGGUAUUCCGAAGGGUAUGCUCGUUUGAGUGUCAUUGUACUCUCACACUUCUAAUUCCUUUCGGGAUUGGGAGCGGUGGACUUGGGUGUUGCUGCUUUGGUUGUGGCUCACCUCAAAUAAGUUAGUGCAACUCUUGGUUGGACAUAGUACGGCGUGAUAAGUGUCUUCGCCGGCGCCUCUGUAAGGAGGGUGGCCGAUCGGGAGCUCUGUGCUUCAAACCGUCUUCGGACAAUCUUUGACAACUUGACCUCAAAUCGAGUAGGACUACCCGCUGAACUUAAGCAUAUCAAUAAGCGGAGGA